CCUACGGGUGGCAGCAGUGGGGAAUAUUGCGCAAUGGGCGAAAGCCUGACGCAGCGACGCCGCGUGAGGGAUGAAGGUUUUCGGAUCGUAAACCUCUGUCAGCAGGGAAGAACGGUUGCUGUGCUAAUCAGCAGUGAAUUGACGGUACCUGCAAAGGAAGCAACGGCUAACUCCGUGCCAGCAGCCGCGGUAAUACGGAGGUGGCGAGCGUUAAUCGGAAUUACUGGGCGUACAGCGCUCGUAGGCGGUAUGUCAAGUCAAGGGUGAAAGCCCCUGGCUCAACGUGGGACAGUCCUUUGAAACUGGGGAACUGGAGUGUGUGAGAGGAUAGUGGAAUUCCAGGUGUAGGAGUGAAAUCCGUAGAUAUAUGGAGGAACAUCAGUGGCGAAGGCGACUAUCUGGCACAUAACUGACGCUGAGGAGCGAAAGCGUGGGUAGCAAACAGGAUUAGAUACCCGAGUAGUC
rnacentral:rRNA from 1 species